rnacentral:tRNA from 1 species
AUAGCUCAGUGGUAGAGUGCAUGCUUAGCAUGUGCAAGGUCCUGGGUUUGAUUCCCAGU